CGUAUGGCACGCCCACGACUUCAGUCUCCGGGCCUAAUUUUCGGUCUAUAUGUAUUAUUAUGUACCGACUGUAAACACAAUAAAUAGUAUCCCUAUCCGUGUAUCCGGAUCAAAAUUAGGAUUUAUUUGCCUUCCAUCGGUUCACCCCCGUAAUUAAAUAAAAUGCACACGAUAGUAAAAUACGCGCAAUGUCUUUUUUGCUGCAGAUUAGUAUAUAAUCGAUAAAUUAUUCGACGACCUAUGCGAGUAAGAGUAUCUAACCGACAUUAUUAUUGAACGACUAUAAUUAAUUUUCUCCUCGGUUUGUAACUAAUUUUCACGUUCCCUAUAACAUGAAUAGGUUUCGUGCUAUUGAGUUUAAACUAAUAAUA